GUUAAGGAUCGUACAUGUCUUCAGUGAUUCACUCGCGUGUAAAGCUCAUCUCAAGGAAUCUGAUAUUCUCACCCAUCUAGACGAUAAAGAACUGACCAAUCAAGAGUUGGACGACAUUCGAGGGAUGUUCCGGGGAGUUCAAAAAGCAUUCAAGCUGACUAUCUGGCGAGAAAUCCAUGAAGGAACCACGAAUCGUUGGACUCAACUUACAAUAAAAAUCUCUAUCACUGAAACGGUUUGUCGUUCUUUCGAGAUCGAAGUGAUCGUGAGUCGUGCUCCUAUUAGACCCAUGCCAG